rnacentral:piRNA from 1 species
UAACAAGUUCUGGGCAAAGUUAGUGAC